rnacentral:rRNA from 1 species
GACGAACGCUGGCGGCGUGCCUAACACAUGCAAGUCGAGCGGAGACAGUGAGUAGCUUGCUAUGAGCUGUUUUAGCGGCGGACGGGUGAGUAACGCGUGAGCAACCUUUCCCAGACAGGGGAAUAACACACCGAAAGGUGUACUAAUACCGCAUAAGACCACGGGAUCACAUGGUUCUGGGGGUAAAAGAUUUAUCGGUUUGGGGUGGGCUCGCGUCCGAUUAGGUAGUUGGGUGAGGGUUAAACGGCCCCACCAAGCCGACGAUCGGUAGCCGACCUGAGAGGGUGAUCGGCCACAUUGGGACUGAGACACGGCCCAAACUCCUACGGGAGGCAGCAGUGGGGAAUAUUGGGCAAUGGGGGGAACCCUGACCCAGCAACGCCGCGUGGAGGAAGAAGGUUUUCGGAUCGUAAACUCCUGUCCUUGGAGACGAGUAGAAGACGGUAUCCAAGGAGGAAGCCCCGGCUAACUACGUG